CUGGAGGAGACUGAGACACUCUUUCAGCCUCCUUGGACACUCCUUCAGUCUCCUCUGGUGACUAGUUGGAAGGAUGAAGCUCCUGGCUCUUUGUGGCUUUUUGUUUGUCUGUGUUCUGUGCCUCAGUGUUGUUGCUGUAGAAGGUCAGGUUAGAAGACGCUGCUGCUCAAAAGUACCCAAACGCAACAAAAAUCCACAUGAAGGUAUAAGUUCUAAAAUUAUUGCAGUGCCAACAAGGAGAUACUGCAAGCCUUGUCGUUGGCGAGACCCUAUGUUUCCUGGACCACUUCCACAGCUAAAAUAAGCAGGCUGAGAGGAGGGUGAAAAGCAUCUGCCUACAUGCACAACCACCAGUGCUUCACUAUCUUGAGGAUCUUCUUUCACAGACAGGACAUGAGUGUACAUUGCUUUGUGUUUGGGGAAAGGCUUCAUUACUGUUUAUUCAUUCCUUCACUCAGGCACCUUUGAUAGUAUUAACCUGGCAGAAAGAGUCAGGCAAACUUGUCUGGCUGCCACCAGACUUUGUGGAAUAUUCCUCUGCACCAAGCAAGGAUUUAGCUCCUCAAGAGAGAAUGAAGAGGUAGCUGAAUUGCACUGGUUUGCAUUUCUAAAUGCCUUUUAGGCAUUCCAUUGCCUAAAAGGGGGUGAAGGGCUGAUGUUUUUGUUUCUAGUUCUCAGUAUACAUGCAUAUUUAAACUUUUCUUGAAUCAUUUAUUUUAUAUUAAUAAAGGUGCUUGUUUUUAUGAUUAUCA
rnacentral:lncRNA from 1 species